rfam:Brachypodium distachyon strain Bd21 chromosome 1, whole genome shotgun sequence.
AUACUACUUUUUCCGUCCAACAAAAGAUGUCUCAACUUUAACUUAAAUUUGAAUGCAUCUAUAAACUAAGUCAUGUCUAGAUAUAUUCAAAUUUUGACAAAACUGAGACAUCUUUUAUUGGAUGGAGCGAGUAUAAA